UCGAACGAAGCGUUUACACGGAUUUCCUUCGGGGAUGAAGGGUUUAUGACUGAGUGGCGGACGGGUGAGUAACGCGUGGGCAACCUGCCCCGUACCGGGGGACAACAGCCGGAAACGGCUGCUAAUACCGUAUACGUUUUAAGGACCGCAUGGUCCUUAAAACAAAACUCCGGUGGUACGGGAUGGGCCCGCGUCUGAUUAGCUCGUUGGCGGGGUAACGGCCCACCAAGGCGACGAUCAGUAGCCGGCCUGAGAGGGCGGUCGGCCACAUUGGGACUGAGACACGGCCCAGACUCCUGCGGGAGGCAGCAGUGGGGAAUAUUGCACAAUGGGGGAAACCCUGAUGCAGCGACGCCGCGUGAGCGAGGAAGUACCUCGGUAUGUAAAGCUCUGUCAGCAGGGAAGAAAAUAACAAUACCUGACCAAGAAGCCCCGGCUAGCUACAUACCAGCAGCCGCGGUAAUACGUAGGGGGCAAGCGUUAUCCGGAUUCACUGGGCGUAAAGGGAGCGCAGGCGGCACGGCAAGUCUGAUGUGAAAACCCGGGGCUCAACCCCGGGACUGCAUUGGAAACUGCCGGGCUGGAGUGUCGGAGGGGUAAGCGGAAUUCCUGGUGUAGCGGUGAAAUGCGU
rnacentral:rRNA from 1 species